UCAUCUUAAGAGGCUAAAGCAAUUCUGUCAGAAUAAGCAAACCUAACCCCUUAAGACCUAUUCAAUAAGGGUACAGCCUUAUUGAAAAAGGAUACAACCUAAAAUUCAGGUUAACGAUUUUUUAAUAAUAGAACAAGUUGGCCUAAGAGCAGCCACCUUUAAAACAGCGUCAAAGCUUAUUCCACCUCCUUAUUUUUAAUACCAACCACCGCACCGAACCCGAUUUUAAUAUUGAGUCAUUCUAUACCCCUAUAGAAGAGUUAAUGUUAGAACUAGUAACAUAGAAUUACUUCUCUCCAUGUAAGUGUAAAUCAGAUCGAAUAAAUCACUGAUAAUUACCCAGAAAUGAGAAAAAUGUAGUAACUUCACUAGAAAACCCUACUCACCCUCUCCCUGUUAACCUAACACAAGAACAUAAGAGAAAGAUUAAAAGACUAAGAAGGAAUUCGGCAAAUUCAAGUCCCGCCUGUUUACCAAAAACAUCGCCUUUUGAGCAAUAUAAAAGGUAAUGCCUGCCCAGUGACCAUGUGUUCAACGGCCGCGGUAUUCUGACCGCGCGAAGGUAGCGUAAUCACUUGUUUUUUAAAUAAAGACUAGUAUGAACGGCCGCACGAGGACUUAACUGUCUCCUUAGUCCAAUCAGUGAAACUGAUCUCCUCGUGCAGAAGCGAGGAUUCCCUCAUAAGACGAGAAGACCCUAUGGAGCUUUAAACUUUUAUCAAAUAUUUUUAUUACCUCUCCAAGGAACUAACACUAAAUUAAAUUUCUUGACAAAAGUUUUGGGUUGGGGCGACCAUGGAGAAAAAAAAAUCCUCCCUGAUGAUAACCAAACCAAGAGCUACAGCUCUAAGUAUUAAGACACUUAACUCCUAUUGACCCAUUUUAUGAUCAACGAACCAAGUUACCCUAGGGAUAACAGCGCAAUCCAUUUCAAGAGUCCCUAUCGACAAAUGGGUUUACGACCUCGAUGUUGGAUCAGGGCAUCCAAGUGGUGCAACCGCUACUAAAGGUUCGUUUGUUCAACGAUUAAAGCCCUACGUGAUCUGAGUUCAGACCGGAGA
rnacentral:rRNA from 1 species